CUGUUAUCUCUUGUCCUUUUUUGCAGCUAUCUCUCAGAGCUCCGAAGUAUUAGGUUGUGAUGAAGGCCUUUUUUAAGAUCCGUCAUCUUGGAUUUGAUCCAAAGUGAAAACCUUUUUUAAGAUCCGUCAUCUUGGAUUUGAUCCAAAGUGAAAAUUGUAAAUAAAAGUGUGGCCGAGGGAAUAUAAGCAUAAAUAUCAGAAGACAUUGGUGGGCGGUAGAAGAACAGUCUCUUCUUUCUUCUCUUCUUUCCUUUUCUUCUGAUUUCAUUCUUCCACUAUCUCCAUGGAAGAAGACACUUCCACUUCAGGGAAUAGCAACAUCUCUCCCCAACUUCUGAUUGAGUAAGUUUGGCAAUUCCACAUUUUUCUUUCCUUUUCUUCUGAUUUCAUUCUUCCACCAUCUCCAUGGAAGAAGACACUUCCACUUCAGGGAAUAGCAACAUCUCUCCCCAACUUCUGAUUGAGUAAGUUUGACAAUUCCACAUUUUUCUUUCCUUUUCUUUUGAUUUCGUUCUUCCACCAUCUCCAUGGAAGAAGACACUUCCACUUCAGGAAAUAACAACAUCUCUCCCCAACUUCUGAUUGAAAUUGCAGAAUGAAGCAGUGCAGAGACCUGAAGAAGAAGAAGAAGAAGAAGACAGAUCACGUUUUGCAUACAAGUAGCAAUUUGUUCACCUUUUACGUUUUCUUCAGUCUGAUUGUUAAGUAAGACAACGCAAUAGCGUUUUUAUAAGUGUAAACGUAACGACUAGUUGAAGUCGUGUUAGUUUCUGUAUAUAUAUAUGUAUCUUCGCCUCUUCUGAAGAACACUGAACUGAAAACUACAGAAAUCAAAAUUUCUUUCUUGAUUCUUGCUCUACAGUUUUCAAUGAGCACUCUUCCCUCUUCUUCCAUCGUUUCCGCUCAAGAUUUUACAUGGUAUCAGAGCCAUCUUUGAUGGUCUCUCAUUAACCCAAACAAGAAACUCCAUAAAUCGAUUUCUUGAUUUCAAGAAUUGAAGGUGACAAUGACAGAGGACCCUGAGGUUCUGAAAUUACAGCCAGGAGACAAUCCAAGAUUCACUCAAUUUCUUGCUUUUUCGCAGUCCUCAAGUACGUGGGUGGGGUUGACUGGAGUUUCUCAAAAAAUGACUCGUUAAUUCAUCAUCUUGUGUUCCUGGCUUCUUGGCAUUCGGAGAGGCACCAGUGCUUCUAGAACUUCUAGAGAAAAUGAAGAAUACAUCACCUACGCUAUCGCCAGUUGACACUUUUCAUCCUCGAGGCAAGUCGUGUUUCAAUAUCUUGAAAAGAUAAGGCAUGAUAUUUUAUGUGCAUUCGUCCUUGUUGACAUUAGAGCAAAGGAUUGCCUUCGGAAGCAUGGUUUAAGCUAAUAUCGGUCAUCGACUGAUGUAGUCGAAGUGGCGUAUCAUACGACACCAUUGAAGUUGAUAUCAACAAAAGAGUUCGCCCGACGAACCUAUCUUGGAGUUGUUUCAUAGCGACGAACCUGUCUCAGAUUAUCUUCUGAAUAUGCCUAAUGGGUUUUAGAAGAUUUUUUUUUAAAUGUAAAUUAGCACUCGUUGUUUGUAGAAUUUCAGCAUUCUUUGUAUGAUAUGAAAGAUUGUACUUGUAUUCUACCUAAAGCAUAAAGAUUGUUAUUCGUUUUAUGUCCAAAGAAGUAAAAUUUCUAACUUUCGUACA